GGAGGAUCCGAGCGUUAUCCGGAUUUAUUGGGUUUAAAGGGAGCGUAGAUGGAUGUUUAAGUCAGUUGUGAAAGUUUGCGGCUCAACCGUAAAAUUGCAGUUGAUACUGGAUGUCUUGAGUGCAGUUGAGGCAGGCGGAAUUCGUGGUGUAGCGGUGAAAUGCUUAGAUAUCACGAAGAACUCCGAUUGCGAAGGCAGCCUGCUAAGCUGCAAUUGACAUUGAGGCU
rnacentral:rRNA from 1 species